AUUCAUUCAAAUUUAUAUCUGAAAAAGUUUUGAUAAAUUCUGAGGAAAAGAAAAUGUACCGUCGGUGUACCUGAAGUAAAUUUAAAGAAUAUGACUAAGUUAUCAAUAUUGUACAGCAUAAUAAAACAUUUUUAAUUUGAAUUACUCUCCAUGAGGAAUAUUUUCCGAUGAUAAAAAAAAUAAUUAAUUAAAUCUGUCAAGUUUCUUUAAAAACGGAAAACAAUUCUUCACCGUGGACGAUUUACCCUCUUUAUUUUCUUGUCGGCAAACUGGACCUGGAGGUCGGCAAACUAUAUUUUACACAGGAAACUACAGAUGUUAGACCACAUGUACAAUAUAAGCGGAGCUGGAAAUUACAAUCGAUUCAUAUUGGCUUGAGCAUGAUUCCCACUUAGAAUAUGAAGCCUGCUACAUGUGCACUUUGAUGCAUAGGAAAUAUAGAUGUCACUGAGUCACUCUUAUAGCUUCAAAUUGUGAAACAGUGGAUUAAUUCAUUAUUUUGUGCUAGUUAUUUAUUGUUUUUGGAAAUAAUGAAUAGCACUUGUAGCAUUAUUCCAUGAUGAUGAUGACUUGUGAUGUUAGGAUUAAAUUGGACAAGAAAAAAAAUUGUGCAUUGUACAAAUAGGAACUUACAAAUUGUAUUAAAGGAGGACCACAGUACUGGAUGACUAAAUAACUUGGAUAAUCAUGAUAAUUAUUCAUUUGGUAUAUGGUAGUCGGUCACAGUUGUUAAGUGUCAAAUGACUGCUUGCUGUACUUAAAGUCUGAAUUAGAAUUAAAUAAAAAUCUAAAUUAGUGCCCAAGCAUAUUAAACAAAUAAACCAUGUA